UACAGAGGGUGCAAGCGUUAAUCGGAAUUACUGGGCGUAAAGCGUGCGUAGACGGUCACGUAAGUCGGGUGUGAAAGCCCCCGGGCUCAACCUGGGAAUUGCAUUCGAGACUGCAUGGCUAGGGUGCGGAAGAGGGAAGCGGAAUUUCCGGUGUAGCGGUGAAAUGCGUAGAUAUCGGAAGGAACACCAGUGGCGAAAGCGGCUUCCUGGUCCAGCACCGGACGUUCAGGCACGAAAGCGUGGGGAGCAAACAGG
rnacentral:rRNA from 1 species